rnacentral:rRNA from 1 species
ACUCAAAGGAAUAGACGGGGGCCCGCACAAGCGGUGGAGCAUGUGGAUUAAUUCGUCACUAACCGAAGAACCUUACCCAGGUUUGACAUCCUCGGAACCCUGGUGAAAGCCGGGGGUGCCCGCAAGGGAGCCGAGAGACAGGUGUUGCAUGGCUGUCGUCAGCUCGUGUCGUGAGAUGUUGGGUUAAGUCCCGCAACGAGCGCAACCCUCACCGGAUGUUGCCAGCGUCAAGUCGGGCACUCUUCCGGAACUGCCCGUGCAAGCGGGAGGAAGGUGGGGAUGACGUCAAGUCGGCAUGGCCCUUAUGCCUGGGGCUUCACACAUGCUACAAUGGGCGGCAACAAAGGGGUGCGAUACCGUGAGGUGGAGCGAAUCCCAAAAAUCCGUCCUCAGUUCGGAUUGCAGGCUGCAACUCGCCUGCAUGAAGCCGGAAUCGCUAGUAACCGCAGGUCAGCCAAACUGCGGUGAAUACGUUCCCGGGCCUUGCACACACCGCCCGU